rnacentral:ribozyme from 13 species
ACUUUUUUGUUUCUUUUCUUUCUUCUUUUUCUUUUCUUAUUAGUUUACAGAGAAAAAUUAAAAGGAGGGGAGGUAGGAGGAGAAGUAGAAGAAGAAGAAGAAGAAGACGACCAAGAAUUUGAU